GACGGAGGGGGCUAGCGUUGUUCGGAAUUACUGGGCGUAAAGCGCGCGUAGGCGGUUGGCAAAGUUGGUUGUGAAAGCCCGGAGCUCAACUCCGGAACUGCAGCCAAAACUAGCCGACUAGAGUUCGGGAGAGGAGAGUGGAAUUCCCAGUGUAGAGGUGAAAUUCGUAGAUAUUGGGAAGAACACCAGUGGCGAAGGCGGCUCUCUGGCCCGAAACUGACGCUGAGGUGCGAAAGCGUGGGGAGCAAACAGG
rnacentral:misc_RNA from 1 species